GACGAACGCUGGCGGCGUGCUUAACACAUGCAAGUCGAACGGUGAAAGUGGAGCUUGCUCCGCUGGAUCAGUGGCGAACGGGUGAGUAACACGUGGGCAACCUGCCCCUGACUUCGGGAUAACUCCUCGAAAGAGGUGCUAAUACCGGAUACGAAUCCUGCAGGCAUCUGCGGGGUUGGAAAGUUUUACGGUCAGGGAUGCGCCCGCGUCCUAUCAGCUUGGUGGUGAGGUACUGGCUCACCAAGGCGACGACGGGUAGCCGGCCUGAGAGGGCGACCGGCCACACUGGGACUGAGACACGGCCCAGACUCCUACGGGAGGCAGCAGUGGGGAAUAUUGCGCAAUGGGCGAAAGACUGACGCAGCAACGCCGCGUGAGGGAUGACGGCCUUCGGGUUGUAAACCUCUAUCAGCAGGGAAGAAGCGAAAGUGACGGUACCUGCAGAAGAAGCACCGGCUAACUACGUGCCAGCAGCCGCAGUAA
rnacentral:rRNA from 1 species